UACGUAGGGUCCGAGCGUUGUCCGGAAUUAUUGGGCGUAAAGAGCUCGUAGGCGGUUUGUCGCGUCUGCUGUGAAAUCUGGAGGCUCAACCUCCAGCCUGCAGUGGGUACGGGCAGACUAGAGUGCGGUAGGGGAGAAUGGAAUUCCUGGUGUAGCGGUGGAAUGCGCAGAUAUCAGGAGGAACACCGAUGGCGAAGGCAGUUCUCUGGGCCGUAACUGACGCUGGGGAGCGAAAGCGUGGGGAGCGAACAGG
rnacentral:rRNA from 1 species